AAAAAGUGGCAAAGGCGAAAAUUUGUGCAAACAGAAUUCCAAAGCUGCAUCAAGGCUCCAAUCACACUGCUAAACAACAUUCAAAAGCCCUCAAUCCUAACACUUUGAACAUGUCAGACAAUCAACCAGCACGCAGGACUGCGUCUUCUAGAGAGGGAAUGGGUGGCGCUAAGGGAAGAAAGGGUUCUUCAAAGAAGGAGGUGAAGGAGGUGAAGGAGGUGAAGGAGAAGAAGAAGGUUUUGACUGGUUCUGCUUCUCGUCCCCUGGGGGUCCAUGGCUCGGACGUGCAGACUCAGUCUUCAGGCGUGAUCAACGCUGAUGGUUCUGAUACUGAGUGGGAUGAGGAUUGGUAUAAUUAUCUUCAUUCGGAGGAGUUCGCUCGUCGGGAAGAAUAACGUGUUUUUAUUUUGUUUGAUGUGUAUUUUGUAACGCUCGUCGGGCAGAAUAACGUGUUUUUGUUUUGUUUGACGUGUUUUGUUUUGUUUUGUUCUGAUUUCGGAUUGUA